UCGCCGGCCGGGAAGCGGGGCAAUGGUGGGCGCUGGCCGGAGAGCAGCAGCGGCGGGUGGGCUGGCCGGAAGCAGGGGACGCAGGGGUGGCUGCGGCUUCUUCUUCCUCUCGUGUUUUUCUCUUUUUUCUUUCCUUUUUUUUUUUUUUUUUGUUGAACGAGAUGGGGCAGCGAGGAGGUCGAGCGGUGGUCAAAGGUCGCUGGCCGGGGAAACAAUGACAACGGUGAUGGUGGGGAAGAAGGGAAGCAAGGCAAGGCUGCGACGGGCUGCGC
rnacentral:lncRNA from 1 species